UUGGCUUCCUUGUUUUCGUCCUUCUGAUCCACAGCUACAUUGCGGCUCCUUGUGAGUUUUGAAGUUAGUUUGCUGAACAGGUUAGUGGAACCCCUGGUUCGAGUCUGAGAGAGCGGCGUUGCCUCGUGGGACAGGCUGGGGGAGGCCGGGGGCCCGUUGUAGGUAGCGGUGCGUCGCUCGCGGAGCUGGCCGUGGAAGGUGCUCCGGCUGGCCGUUCCUCUGGGGAAACGAAUACGGUCAGGUGUGGUUGCACUGCUU
rnacentral:lncRNA from 1 species